rnacentral:rRNA from 1 species
AUUGAACGCUGGCGGCAGGCCUAACACAUGCAAGUCGAACGAGCGGCGGACGGGUGAGUAAUGUCUGGGAAUCUGCCCGAUAGAGGGGGAUAACUACUGGAAACGGUGGCUAAUACCGCAUACUAUCGGAUGUGCCCAUAUGGGAUUAGCUAGUUGGUGGGGUAAAGGCUCACCAAGGCGACGAUCCCUAGCUGGUCUGAGAGGAUGACCAGCCACACUGGAACUGAGACACGGCCCAGACUCCUACGGGAGGCAGCAGUGGGGAAUAUUGCACAAUGGGCGCAAGCCUGAUGCAGCCAUGCCGCGUGUAUGAAGAAGGCCUUAGGGUUGUAAAGUACUUUCAGCGGGGAGGCGUUACCCGCAGAAGAAGCACCGGCUAACUCCGUGCCAGCAGCCGCGGUAAUUC